ACCGCGAUCUGCUUUCGGUGA
rnacentral:miRNA from 2 species